rnacentral:lncRNA from 1 species
AAAUAUAAAGGUGUGUCUUUCUUUACAUAUCAUCAUAAAGUUUAUCAUUAUCUUGCUGCAAUGUUUCAUAAGAUGUUCAUUACUACUUAUUUGAUUCUCAUAGAUGCUGAUAAUGAAUAAGGACAAAGCUUUUGGAGUUGUCUUCAAGACAUUCAAGAGGGAAUGCAGGUGAAGUACAGGUACUUGCAAAUUUCAUAUACUAAUCUGCAUAUUUUUCUCAUGUUUAACUUUAGCUUGAGCGAAUUUUGAUCUUCCCUAGGACUUGGCACUUUGAUUUGGCAUUGGAAGAUUUGAAGAUGGUCGUUUGGAGGCUUGGAGAUGUGAAAGAUGCCAUGAUGAUUCCAACUUUAAAGUGAUUUGUGAACUAUAAGUUCUAUUUCAGAACUUAUAUAGCUGUUGAACCAUCU